GUCAGGUGUGACCACUGAACCUUGACUUGGACUGAUCUCUCGGCAAACUAGACUCUCCUGGAUUUCUGGCUUGGCACAGGACAGGAUUCCAACUAAUUCAAGAGCCAAUCAUGGCACAGCACUACGCAUAUAGAAGACCAACAGCGCGACAUAGAUGUCAAGAGCCAUGAUCUAAAAGUCACGCUUUAAAUGCAGUUCUCAUCUAUUAAGUACAAU